rnacentral:rRNA from 1 species
AUGACGGCCUUCGGGUUGUAAACCUCUUUCAGUAGGGAAGAAGCGCAAGUGACGGUACCUGCAGAAGAAGCGCCGGGCUAACUACGUGCCAGCAGCCGCGGUAAUACGUAGGGCGCAAGCGUUGUCCGGAAUUAUUGGGCGUAAAGAGCUCGUAGGCGGUCUGUCGCGUCUGCUGUGAAAGCCCGGGGCUCAACCCCGGGUCUGCAGUGGGUACGGGCAGACUAGAGUGCAGUAGGGGAGACUGGAAUUCCUGGUGUAGCGGUGAAAUGCGCAGAUAUCAGGAGGAACACCGAUGGCGAAGGCAGGUCUCUGGGCUGUUACUGACGCUGAGGAGCGAAAGCAUGGGGAGCGAACAGGAUUAGAUACCCUGGUAGUCCAUGCCGUAAACGUUGGGCACUAGGUGUGGGGGACAUUCCACGUUCUCCGCGCCGUAGCUAACGCAUUAAGUGCCCCGCCUGGGGAGUACGGCCGCAAGGCUAAAACUCAAAGGAAUUGACGGGGGCCCGCACAAGCGGCGGAGCAUGCGGAUUAAUUCGAUGCAACGCGAAGAACCUUACCAAGGCUUGACAUUCACCGGACCGCCCCAGAGAUGGGGUUUCCCUUCGGGGCCGGUGGACAGGUGGUGCAUGGUUGUCGUCAGCUCGUGUCGUGAGAUGUUGGGUUAAGUCCCGCAACGAGCGCAACCCUCGUUCUAUGUUGCCAGCACGUGAUGGUGGGGACUCAUAGGAGACUGCCGGGGUCAACUCGGAGGAAGGUGGGGAUGACGUCAAAUCAUCAUGCCCCUUAUGUCUUGGGCUUCACGCAUGCUACAAUGGCCGGUACAAAGGGUUGCGAUACUGUGAGGUGGAGCUAAUCCCAAAAAGCCGGUCUCAGUUCGGAUUGAGGUCUGCAACUCGACCUCAUGAAGUCGGAGUCGCUAGUAAUCGCAGAUCAGCAACGCUGCGGUGAAUACGUUCCCGGGCCUUGUACACACCGCCCGUCAAGUCACGAAAGUUGGUAACACCCGAAGCCGGUGGCCUAACCCCUUGUGGGAGGAGCCGUCG